GUGAGAAUAGUAUAGUACAUUACAUUAAAUUGCAAAUUUAAAAAGACAUUUAAGUUUUUCACU
rnacentral:tRNA from 1 species